UGUUUCCUCUUAUGUAAUCUCCAUGCUCUAAAGACUCGGAAGAACCAAGAGGCGAAGGUCAUCAAGAGACUGCUCACACUUCGCCUUCGAUUAAUCAAGAGGGUGUCACAAUGUUAGCUCAGGAAGGAUAUAUAAGAUUUUUCUUAAGACGUGAAUUUCAUAAGUUCAGGUUUUAAGAAAAAGUAAAGAGAAGCUAGUGAGAGAUUCUCUACUCCUUCUAUAGUUGAUUGAGCGGUUGCUUGUGGAUUCAAAGUUACAAAGCUAAGGAUCUCAAGUUGAAGUCAUGUCAUUCUUGUUUGUCUUCUCUUCUUUUUGAAUUUGGAUCAACAAGAGGUGAGGAAGAUCUGGCUUUGAGUGGCAUCUAGAAUGCCAACAGUUGAAUUUUGGGUGUGCUUUGAUAUUGUAACAUCGGGGUAGAGGAUUUCUAGGACAUGGAUUUUUAUAUGUAGUUGGAGUUGUACUUAUUAUUUUAAAAAUAAUUUGUAAACUCUUAUGUUUAUUUUCCAAUUUUUAUUUUCAAUAUUAUUUUGGAUA